CCUACGGGAGGCAGCAGUGGGGAAUUUUGGACAAUGGGCGCAAGCCUGAUCCAGCAAUGCCGCGUGAGUGAAGAAGGCCUUCGGGUUGUAAAGCUCUUUUGUCAGGGAAGAAACGGCCGAGGCUAAUACCUUUGGCUAAUGACGGUACCUGAAGAAUAAGCACCGGCUAACUACGUGCCAGCAGCCGCGGUAAUACGUAGGGUGCAAGCGUUAAUCGGAAUUACUGGGCGUAAAGCGUGCGCAGGCGGUUUUGUAAGUCUGACGUGAAAUCCCCGGGCUCAACCUGGGAAUUGCGUUGGAGACUGCAAGGCUGGAGUCUGGGCAGAGGGGGGGUAGAAUUCCACGUGUAGCAGUGAAAUGCGUAGAGAUGUGGAGGAACACCGAUGGCGAAGGCAGCCCCCUGGGUCAAGACUGACGCUCAUGCACGAAAGCGUAGGGGAGCAAACAGGACUUAGAUACCCUGGUACGUCCACGCCCUAAACGAUGUCUACUAGUUGUCGGGUCUUAAUUGACUUGGUAACGCAGCUAACGCGUGAAGUAGACCGCCGUGGGGAGUACGGUCGACAAGAUUAAAACUCAAAUGAAUUGACGG
rnacentral:rRNA from 1 species